CUCUCAGGAGACCACCAUUCCAGCAUCUGUCUAAAUCAACCCGGUUUGGUUAUCUGCCUGUGAGUGUAUGUGUUUGUGUCUAUCUCAGGGUGGCCCAGGGACUGAGGUGUAGGGAAUAAUCUACUUUUGCUCCAACUGGUUUCCAUCACCAUAAAUGUCAUUUACAUACAAAUUGGCAGCAUUUUGAAUUCAGCAAAGUGUUCUCUUUUCUGUCACUGUUCUGUCCACAGUGAUUCCAUCUGCAAAGAUUCUCCUUUGAUUAGCAAUCUUUAUGUGAUUAUCAAGGCAUGGAUUGAAGAAAAAUAUUUUAAUAUCUUAAGUUUCAGGAUCUCCCUGUUUAGGCCAGAGUUUCUCAAUUUUGGCAUUAUUGGUUUUGGGGGCCAGAUAAUUCUUUGUUGUGGGAAGCUGUCCUGUACACUGCAGUUUGUCUAACAGCAUACCCGGCCUCUACCCACUAGAUGCCAGUAGCACCGCCUGCCCCAUUGAGACCAUCAAAAAUAUCUCCAGACACUGCCAAAUAUUCCCCCAGGGGUCAAAGUCAUCCCGGUAGAUAACCAUUGGUUUAGGCAAAGGAGCAGCAAGGAAUGCUCUCUCAUAAAGGUAUUUUCCUCAUACAAUUUCAAAACACCUUUCUAUUAGGAAGAAUUCUUUAGGGCAGAAACUCUGGCCAAAUCCGUAUAAGUGUGUCCUAAGAAUCUUAUGAUUGAAUACUUCACACACACAAAAAAAAACAAAAACAAAAAACCUUCCUUUCUCUAGUAAUGAGAUCUCAAUGGGUUAGAAUAGAGUUUGAAAACAAAUUAUAUCAAUACCAUUAAAACACUACAAGAACAGAUCAAAACUGGACUACAACAAAAUUUAAAAUUGUUGUGCUGCAAAUAAUGCCAUCAAGUGAGAAGACAAUCCCCCAAAUGGGAGAAUAUUUUCAAACCAUGUAUCACAAAGGGAGCCUGCAUCCAAAAUAUAUUAAAAAACGCCUACGACUAAAAAAAAAAAAGCAAAGAAUUUGAAAAGACAUCAUAGCAAAGAAGAUAUACAAAUAGCCAAUAAACACACGAAAAAAUGCUCUACAUUGGCUGAAUCUGCCUACUUGUCGCCACUAUCACUGCCACCCACCUCCCGGCUCCCCCAGGUUCCUUCAGCCCAGCCUAGUUCAGCCGGGUUCCC
rnacentral:lncRNA from 10 species